UACGGAGGGUGCAAGCAUUAAUCGGAUUUACUGGGCGUAAAGGGGGCGUAGGCGGGAACGCAAGCCGGAUGUGAAAUCCCGGGGCUCAACCCCGGAACUGCAUUCGGAACUGCAUUUCUUGAGGAUAGGCGGAGAAAACGGAAUUCCACAUGUAGCGGUGAAAUGCGUAGAUAUGUGGAAGAACACCGGUGGCGAAGGCGGUUUUCUAGCUUAUUCCUGACGCUGAGGCCCGAAAGCUAGGGGAG
rnacentral:rRNA from 1 species